GACGAACGCUGGCGGCGUGCUUAACACAUGCAAGUCGUACGGUAAGGCCCUUUCGGGGGUACACGAGUGGCGAACGGGUGAGUAACACGUGAGUAACCUGCCCACAACUUUGGGAUAACGCUAGGAAACUGGUGCUAAUACUGGAUAUGUGCUCCUGCUGCAUGGUGGGGGUUGGAAAGCUCCGGCGGUUGUGGAUGGACUCGCGGCCUAUCAGCUUGUUGGUGGGGUAGUGGCCUACCAAGGCGGCGACGGGUAGCCGGCCUGAGAGGGUGACCGGCCACAUUGGGACUGAGAUACGGCCCAGACUCCUACGGGAGGCAGCAGUGGGGAAUAUUGCACCAUGGGCGCAAGCCUGAUGCAGCAACGCCGCGUGCGGGAUGACGGCCUUCGGGUUGUAAACCGCUUUCAGCAGGGACGAAGCUUUUUGUGACGGUACCUGCAGAAGAAGCACCGGCUAACUACGUG
rnacentral:rRNA from 1 species